CCCUCUUCAGUCUCAGGGUGUUUGUCCUUGAGACUGAAGCCCAAUAGACACUCUUCUACUAUGAUAUUUUGGGUCAUAGGAAACAAGCUUUAUGCUUUCCCUUCUCAUGUGCUGUUGACAGAUGGAUUGGUAGAAGUGUCCGGCCUAUUCCUAGUCUGUUUAGCAUUGCAUCAGAAGCAUGCUUAGACCACAGAGAUUCCCUCAUGGCACUUCACACAAGUUCGGGUUCUCCUACUUCGUUCUUCAGUUGAGGUAUUAAAAUGACUGCUGCCAUGGCUUCACUGCAUCAUGAUGCUGCACUAUUUGAUGAGUAGGAAGUGGGGCUCCACCCCAGCAGCGAGUAAAGAAGAAUUAGAAUGUUUGAAUGGUGUGCAUUCUGUUGAAAAGGAAACACACACAGCAAGCAAACCAGGAGUGAAAGAUAAUCUAGAAAGUUACAUGAUGACAUAAUGCCAUAGCAAGCAUUUGAUCUUAGAGUGUAUGCUGUGUAAGCUUUCUGAGCACAAAAGAAACAAGAUUGGUUUGUUGCACUCCAGAUCUACAUUCUUAUUCCUCAGUGUGCUGCAUGCUUCAAGAAGUUAAAGGCCUGAGUUAAUGCAAGUUAACUUUGACUUCUCUUUUUAUUCCUUGACUAUCGAGAUAAGUCACAAUGGCCUGAUUUCAUAACUGAUGGUGGAGAUAGAUGCCCAGCAUUUUCUUCAAAUUCAACUAAUUUAAUAUUUACUCAACUUGCCUUCAAAGAGUUCAUAUUCUAAAAUCACAAUUUAAAAUGGCUAUCAAGGCCCUCAAUCACAGUUCUGUCCCCAUUCACUGAUGGGACAGUUGAACAAGCCCCAAAUGUUAGGGAGAUGCCAUGGUUCUUUCUAUAACCCUCUGUCUUCCUUCUGAGCUUCCUGUUUAGAAAUCAAGUCAACUUAAACAUGGUGAAUUUAAGUCAACACAUAAUCCUUCUCCCAUGAAAACCAUCAAGCCAUUAUUUGAAUUUACCUCCUCUAUAAAUGCGGCAGAUUUAGGCUACAUGGACACUUGGGUUUCCUCUAUGGGAGAAGGAAGAUGUUCUUAUGGAAAAAGAAAUUAUAAAAAAUUAAUCUGAAGUCUCUAGCUUCCUCCCAUAGAAAGGAAAGAAUUCUUAUAAAUAAAUAAAGGGCUGAGCUUUAUCAGCUUCAUGGUAAAUCCCUCCCCCCAGUGAGCAUCAUAUGUAAGUAUGCAAUGCACUUUCAAGAGUUGUAAUAAUGUCAACUGGCCAUUUAAAAAUAAGGCCUGCAUCAGAAACAUGGAGGCUCUUUAGAGAUACCUGCUCUGGGCUAUAAUUACCCAGAUUUGCCAAAACCUUGAUUUGUCACAGAGAGCAGUUCUCAUUUGAAUAGUCAGUCAACAAGAAAAUUCGUGUAGAUCUUCCUCUUUCUGCCCCUCCCUUCCUCCCUCCCCCAGCCUGUCUUUGCAAUGUUUUACAGAAUUUAGAUACCAUCCAUCUGACCUUUCCCCCAUGUUCUACCCAGAUAGCUAGUUUCCAAAUGCCAGCACCCACACAACAGAGACAAUAAGGUAGACUAAAUGUUCUAUUAGGUAAGGAAGGGGAAAAAAUUUAAAAGAGAGGGAAUAAAAUAACAAAGUCAAUUAGGGCAGUGUCCUUAAAAGCCUGUUCCCGAAGGCAGUGCUGGCUGCUGUCUCAAGCUGCUCAGUCCACUGUGUGACUGAAAAGCUGCCACCCUCCAAGCACAUGCAAGUAGCACUUCAUUAUACAAAUCGAAUCUAUGAAGCUAUGCAUGCCCUCAGACUGAGCUCCGUGUGCCGCUGCAUCUCAAAAAUAUCCAUCUGUUCCAAGAGAAGAAACAGGAAGUUUUGUUAAUUAUCUCUCACAAGCCACUAGUUAGUUUCCAGAAUAAUCACUAACUCCAUCUUUCCUGAAUAAAUUUAACAAGUAAGUUACAAGAUGCAACUCAGUAGAUAAGCCUUCCAUUAGCCCUCUUAAAUGAACCGAGUCUAUCGGUGGCCCAAUUGCACACUCUCUGCCUCCAAACCCAUUUCUGUUUCCUUGGCACUCAACAGACCAGAUUAUUUCCUGUAAACAAUGUUUUCUAUUACAAUAUUGAUUGAUAAAGCAAUAAAGCAAUUUGAUGUGUGCAGAACACUACCCAUUGCGUGAACACUGGACAAAUCCUCAGUGGUUGCUUGUCUCCAGCACAAGUUUGCUUCUAGAUCCCAUUAAACUAUCAAACGAAUUUUCCCAUUAUUAAACAAAAUACACUCACAUAAAAUUUUUGUUCAUGGUUAUUAGCUGACUUAAAUAAGUAUCUAAAGCUUCUUCUACAGUCUGAUUGU
rnacentral:sRNA from 1 species